UCAAAUAAUUGAUCAAAAUACGCAGUAGC
rnacentral:sRNA from 1 species